AACGAACGCUGGCGGCAGGCCUAACACAUGCAAGUCGAACGCACCGCAAGGUGAGUGGCAGACGGGUGAGUAACGCGUGGGAACCUUCCUUUCAGUACGGAACAACUCAGGGAAACUUGAGCUAAUACCGUAUACGCCCUCCGGGGGAAAGAUUUAUCGCUGAAAGAUGGGCCCGCGUUGGAUUAGCUAGUUGGUGGGGUAAUGGCUCACCAAGGCGACGAUCCAUAGCUGGUCUGAGAGGAUGAUCAGCCACACUGGGACUGAGACACGGCCCAGACUCCUACGGGAGGCAGCAGUGGGGAAUAUUGGACAAUGGGCGCAAGCCUGAUCCAGCCAUGCCGCGUGAGUGAAGAAGGCCUUAGGGUUGUAAAGCUCUUUUGCCCGGGAAGAUAAUGACUGUACCGGGAGAAUAAGCCCCGGCUAACUUCGUGCCAGCAGCCGCCGUAACAC
rnacentral:rRNA from 1 species